AUUGAACGCUGGCGGCAUGCUUUACACAUGCAAGUCGAACGGCAGCGCGGGGCAACCUGGCGGCGAGUGGCGAACGGGUGAGUAAUACAUCGGAACGUACCCAGAAGUGGGGGAUAACGUAGCGAAAGUUACGCUAAUACCGCAUACGUUCUACGGAAGAAAGUGGGGGACCGCAAGGCCUCAUGCUUUUGGAGCGGCCGAUGUCUGAUUAGCUAGUUGGUGAGGUAAAGGCUCACCAAGGCGACGAUCAGUAGCUGGUCUGAGAGGACGACCAGCCACACUGGGACUGAGACACGGCCCAGACUCCUACGGGAGGCAGCAGUGGGGAAUUUUGGACAAUGGGCGCAAGCCUGAUCCAGCAAUGCCGCGUGAGUGAAGAAGGCCUUCGGGUUGUAAAGCUCUUUUGUCAGGGAAGAAACGGCUGGGGAUAAUACCUCUGGCUAAUGACGGUACCUGAAGAAUAAGCACCGGCUAACUACGUGCCAGCCGCCGCGGUAA
rnacentral:rRNA from 1 species